UAUCGUGAUUUUACAGAUGAGGUGGC
rnacentral:piRNA from 1 species